rnacentral:lncRNA from 10 species
GAGACACCAAACUGAUCAGAGUAUCAGAGAGAAGCAGAUUCCUCCCUAGGUUUCUCCAGCAUUUUUCUGCCAUCCCUGCUGUUUGGGAAUGAGCUCUGAGAGUCCCCUUGGACAACCUGGGCUAGCUAGCCUUCUGGUUUCCCUAAAUGCAUGUAGGAACCUCAAACAAAAGGGAUGAAGAUGAAGCUGAUAUUUCCUUAAUGCAGGUCUUCCUGGGAGAUCAAUAACAGAUAUCUUAGAAGAUCAUCUUGAUCCUGCCCUCCUCUUAAAAGCUGGGGUACACGAAGAAGACAGUGGAGUCUACAGGCCAUAUGAGUCAAUUCCUCUCCCCUACACCAGAAAGUUGAGUCAUGAAUGAUUUUCACUCUCACCAAAAAGUCCUUGUUCUUCCCCAUCCCCCCGCAUCCUAGUUCUAAAUGGAAGUAGAUGGCAAAACAAGAACAAGGAUGUUGAUGUUGCCAAAAAGAAAGAAAUGGAAAAUCGGGUUGUGACGCAACAUCUAUCAAGCAGAAGUAAAGGAUGAGAGGGUACAGUUGUUACAGCUCUAAGCCUUAACAGUGAAACUUAACUGAAGAAGGAUAUGGACCUGAUGAGAACGAGGCCUCCUGAGGACAAAUCACACUAGCUCUGCAGAGGAUUGAUGGCUCCAGUAGGCAGAUGGGAAAACCCAUCAAAAUGGGACUUUCCAGGAACAUAACCAUGAAAUUGCAAUUGAAAUGGCUUCUCACUUUUCUUCUUUUAACUAAGUGAGAGUAAAGUCACCAUGCAGGAUGGCAUACUGAUCUGUGCAUGUGUGUAUCUUGGUGUAUUCAUGUUGGAAAGGCUCUUAAGAAAAAAGCUGCUAAGAAUGAGAACUCAAUUUUGAGGAUUUGUCUUAAAGUUUCUUCAAAAAGAUUUCUCAAUGCAAAUGGUACACUUAUUUAAUAUACGGCUAAGGUUAGCAUAGUCUGCCUGCUGCUACCACAGCCCAUCAGUCUGUCUAGCUGCACUGGGGCAGGGGGUGCACCUGGGUUAAGUCUAACAGAACUCUGACCCUUUUUUUUUUUUUUUUUUGAGAUGGAGUUUCACUCUUGUUGCCCAGGCUGGAGUGCAAUGGCACGAUCUCGGCUUACUGCAACCUCCGCCUUCCAGGUUCA